rfam:Pseudomonadales bacterium GWC1_66_9 gwc1_scaffold_1592, whole genome shotgun sequence.
AUACGUGCAGGGUGGAGAUGCACAACCAUCGGAUUGCGUAGCUGCAAGCUUUCAUCCAGACGCACAUGGCGUCCGCUGCCGAUGCUUGAUUCCUCCUCCUGAUUGAUUGCUUUCUGCCACAACAGUAAGCAGGAGACGUAGUCGCGACUCUGGCCACCAGCCAAAUGUUGCUUGACACGGGAACGGACGACAACCUUUCCUGAACGCCCCUGUCACCGACCGCGAGAGUCGUGUGUGCCGAACGCCGUUUCCGGCAGCCCGGAAACCGA